rnacentral:rRNA from 1 species
GGGCGCACGGUGGAUGCCUUGACACUAGGAGUCGAUGAAGGACGGGACUAACGCCGAUAUGCUUCGGGGAGCUGUAAGUAAGCUUUGAUCCGAAGAUUUCCGAAUGGGGAAACCCACCAUACGUAAUGGUAUGGUAUCCUUAUCUGAAUACAUAGGGUAAGGAAGACAGACCCAGGGAACUGAAACAUCUAAGUACCUGGAGGAAGAGAAAGCAAAUGCGAUUUCCUGAGUAGCGGCGAGCGAAACGGAACAUAGCCCAAACCAAGAGGCUUGCCUCUUGGGGUUGUAGGACAUUCUAUACGGAGUUACAAAGGAACGAGGUAGACGAAGCGACCUGGAAAGGUCCGUCGUAGAGGGUAACAACCCCGUAGUCGAAACUUCGUUCUCUCUUGAAUGUAUCCUGAGUACGGCGGAACACGUGAAAUUCCGUCGGAAUCUGGGAGGACCAUCUCCCAAGGCUAAAUACUCCCUAGUGAUCGAUAGUGAACCAGUACCGUGAGGGAAAGGUGAAAAGCACCCCGGAAGGGGAGUGAAAGAGAUCCUGAAACCGUGUGCCUACAAAUAGUCAGAGCCCGUUAACGGGUGAUGGCGUGCCUUUUGUAGAAUGAACCGGCGAGUUACGAUCCCGUGCGAGGUUAAGCUGAAGAGGCGGAGCCGCAGCGAAAGCGAGUCUGAAUAGGGCGUUUAGUACGUGGUCGUAGACCCGAAACCAGGUGAUCUACCCAUGUCCAGGGUGAAGUUCAGGUAACACUGAAUGGAGGCCCGAACCCACGCACGUUGAAAAGUGCGGGGAUGAGGUGUGGGUAGCGGAGAAAUUCCAAUCGAACCUGGAGAUAGCUGGUUCUCCCCGAAAUAGCUUUAGGGCUAGCCUUAAGUGUAAGAGUCUUGGAGGUAGAGCACUGAUUGGACUAGGGGUCCUCAUCGGAUUACCGAAUUCAGUCAAACUCCGAAUGCCAAUGACUUAUCCUUAGGAGUCAGACUGCGAGUGAUAAGAUCCGUAGUCAAAAGGGAAACAGCCCAGACCGCCAGCUAAGGUCCCAAAGUGUGUAUUAAGUGGAAAAGGAUGUGGAGUUGCUUAGACAACUAGGAUGUUGGCUUAGAAGCAGCCACCAUUUAAAGAGUGCGUAAUAGCUCACUAGUCGAGUGACUCUGCGCCGAAAAUGUACCGGGGCUAAAUACACCACCGAAGCUGCGGAUUGAUACCGAAUGGUAUCAGUGGUAGGGGAGCGUUCUAAGGACAGUGAAAUCAGAUCGGAAGGACUGGUGGAGUGCUUAGAAGUGAGAAUGCCGGUAUGAGUAGCGAAAGACGGGUGAGAAUCCCGUCCACCGAAUGCCUAAGGUUUCCUGAGGAAGGCUCGUCCGCUCAGGGUUAGUCAGGACCUAAGCCGAGGCCGACAGGCGUAGGCGAUGGACAACAGGUUGAUAUUCCUGUACCACCUCUUUAUCGUUUGAGCAAUGGAGGGACGCAGAAGGAUAGAAGAAGCGUGCGAUUGGUUGUGCACGUCCAAGCAGUUAGGCUGAUAAGUAGGCAAAUCCGCUUAUCGUAAAGGCUGAGCUGUGAUGGGGAAGCUCCUUAUGGAGCGAAGUCUUUGAUUCCCCGCUGCCAAGAAAAGCUUCUAGCGAGAUAAAAGGUGCCUGUACCGCAAACCGACACAGGUAGGCGAGGAGAGAAUCGUAAGGUGUGCGAGAGAACUCUGGUUAAGGAACUCGGCAAAAUGACCCCGUAACUUCGGGAGAAGGGGUGCUUUCUUAACGGAAAGCCGCAGUGAAUAGGCCCAAGCGACUGUUUAGCAAAAACACAGCUCUCUGCGAAGCCGUAAGGCGAAGUAUAGGGGGUGACACCUGCCCGGUGCUGGAAGGUUAAGGAGAGGGGUUAGCGUAAGCGAAGCUCUGAACUGAAGCCCCAGUAAACGGCGGCCGUAACUAUAACGGUCCUAAGGUAGCGAAAUUCCUUGUCGGGUAAGUUCCGACCCGCACGAAAGGUGUAACGAUUUGGGCACUGUCUCAACCAGAGACUCGGUGAAAUUAUAGUACCUGUGAAGAUGCAGGUUACCCGCGACAGGACGGAAAGACCCCGUGGAGCUUUACUGUAGCCUGAUAUUGAAUUUUGGUACAGUUUGUACAGGAUAGGCGGGAGCCUUUGAAACCGGAGCGCUAGCUUCGGUGGAGGCGCUGGUGGGAUACCGCCCUGACUGUAUUGAAAUUCUAACCUACGGGUCUUAUCGACCCGGGAGACAGUGUCAGGUGGGCAGUUUGACUGGGGCGGUCGCCUCCUAAAGUGUAACGGAGGCGCCCAAAGGUUCCCUCAGAAUGGUUGGAAAUCAUUCGUAGAGUGCAAAGGCAUAAGGGAGCUUGACUGCGAGACCUACAAGUCGAGCAGGGACGAAAGUCGGGCUUAGUGAUCCGGUGGUUCCGCAUGGAAGGGCCAUCGCUCAACGGAUAAAAGCUACCCCGGGGAUAACAGGCUUAUCUCCCCCAAGAGUCCACAUCGACGGGGAGGUUUGGCACCUCGAUGUCGGCUCAUCGCAUCCUGGGGCUGUAGUCGGUCCCAAGGGUUGGGCUGUUCGCCCAUUAAAGCGGUACGCGAGCUGGGUUCAGAACGUCGUGAGACAGUUCGGUCCCUAUCCGUCGUGGGCGUAGGAAAUUUGAGAGGAGCUGUCCUUAGUACGAGAGGACCGGGAUGGACGCACCGCUGGUGUACCAGUUGUUCUGCCAAGGGCAUAGCUGGGUAGCUAUGUGCGGAAGGGAUAAGUGCUGAAAGCAUCUAAGCAUGAAGCCCCCCUCAAGAUGAGAUUUCCCAUAGCGUAAGCUAGUAAGAUCCCUGAAAGAUGAUCAGGUUGAUAGGUUCGAGGUGGAAGCAUGGUGACAUGUGGAGCUGACGAAUACUAAUAGAUCGAGGACUUAACCAU